GACAGAGGCCUCAAGCGUUAGGCGGAAUCACUGGGCUUAAAGCGUGUGUAGGCGGAUCGUUAAGUGCCUUGUGAAAUCCCACGGCUUAACUGUGGAACGGCUGGGCAUACUGGCGGUCUUGAGCCAUCUAGGGGCGACUGGAACAAACGGUGGAGCGGUGAAAUGCGUAGAUAUCUGGAGGAACACCGGUGGCGAAGGCGGCAUCCUGGACCGGCAUUGACGCUGAGGCGCGAAAGCCAGGGGAGCAAACGGG
rnacentral:rRNA from 1 species